rnacentral:rRNA from 1 species
UGUAGUCAUAUGCUUGUCUCAAAGAUUAAGCCAUGCAUGUCUAAGUAUAAGCAAUUGUACUGCGAAACUGCGAAUGGCUCAUUAAAUCAGUUAUCGUUUAUUUGAUAGUGCCUAUCCUACUUGGAUAACCGUGGUAAUUCUAGAGCUAAUACAUGCUAAAAAUCCCGACUUCGGAAGGGAUGCAUUUAUUGGAUACAGAACCAACGCCCUUCGGGGCUUUCUGGUGAAUCACAAUAACUUCGCGGAUCGCACGGCCUUGUGCCGGCGAUGGUUCAUUCAAAUUUCUGCCCUAUCAACUUUCGACGGCUGGGUCUUGGCCAGCCGUGGUGACAACGGGUAACGGAGGGUUAGGGCUCGACCCCGGAGAAGGAGCCUGAGAGACGGCUACUACAUCCAAGGAAGGCAGCAGGCGCGCAAAUUACCCAAUCCCGACUCGGGGAGGUAGUGACAAUAAAUACUGAUCCAGGGCUCUUUUGGGUCUUGGAAUUGGAAUGAGUACAAUUUAAAUCCCUUAACGAGGAACAAUUGGAGGGCAAGUCUGAAUCG